rnacentral:rRNA from 1 species
AGUGGACGCUGGCGGUAGGCCUAACACAUGCAAGUCGAACGGCAGCACAGUAAGAGCUUGUUCUUACGGGUGGCGAGUGGCGGACGGGUGAGGAAUACAUCGGAAUCUACUUUUUCGUGGGGGAUAACGUAGGGAAACUUACGCUAAUACCGCAUACUACCUACGGGUGAAAGCAGGGGAUCUUCGGACCUUGCGCGAUUGAAUGAGCCGAUGUCGGAUUAGCUAGUUGGCGGGGUAAAGGCCCACCAAGGCGACGAUCCGUAGCUGGUCUGAGAGGAUGAUCAGCCACACUGGAACUGAGACACGGUCCAGACUCCUACGGGAGGCAGCAGUGGGGAAUAUUGGACAAUGGGCGCAAGCCUGAUCCAGCCAUACCGCGUGGGUGAAGAAGGCCUUCGGGUUGUAAAGCCCUUUUGUUGGGAAAGAAAAGCAGCAGGUUAAUACCCCGCUGUUCUGACGGUACCCAAAGAAUAAGCACCGGCUAACUUCGUG